GUUGUUGCAGUUAAAAAGCUCGUAGUCGGAUUUCAGUAGGCUCAGUUUAGGCCCUCUUAUGGGUUCUUUAUGGGCUUACUUCUUUGACAGAAACUCCUAUGUUAUUCAUUUAGCGUGGGUAGCGACUGUCUCUUUUACUUUGAGAAAAUUAGAGUGUUCAAAGCAGGUAUUCGCCUGAAUAUUACUCUUGGAAUAAUGCUAUAAGACUUUGGUUCUAAUGUAUUGGUGAUUGGGACCAGAGUAAUGAUUGAUAGGGACGGUUGGGGUCUUACGUACUGCAAAGCGAGAGGUGAAAUUCUUGGACCUUUGUAUGACGAACAACUGCGAAAGCAUUGGACUAGGACGUUCCCGUUGAUCAAGAACGAAAGUUGGGGGAUCGAAGACGAUCAGAUACCGUCGUAGUCUCAACCAUAAACUAUGCCAGCUAGGGAUCGGAGGACGUUACAUUUUCGACUCCUUCGGCACCUUAUGAGAAAUCAAAGCAUUUGGGUUCCGGGGGGAGUAUGGUCGCAAGGCUGAAACUUAAAGGAAUUGACGGGAGGGCACCACCAGGAGUGGAGCCUGUGGCUUAAUUUGACUCAACACGGGAAAACUUACCAGGUCCGGACAUAGUAAGGAUUGACAGAUUGAAAGCUCUUUCUUGAUUCUAUGGGUGGUGGUGCAUG
rnacentral:rRNA from 1 species